UAUACAAUCAAUCCCAAUGAAGAUAGAGGAGGUUUAGAUCAUUCAGUGGGGGGAGGAGCUCUCUCUUUAACAUCCUAUAUCAGUAAUAUAGUUGAUAUACCAUAUCUGUAUCUCUUCAGUAAUAUAGCCCACCAAGGCUUCAUAGACAAACACCCAUCAUCCACAAACAGAGUUCUGAGAAGGAUUUCUGGCCCGGGAGAUUCCGCGUGCCACUCACAUAUCCUACAAUUCCUUCCAACUACUCACCCCUGUAGAACCCUCACAAACAGCUGUGGCCCGACUGUGUACCAUUUCUGAAUAUGCUCACCUCUUUACACCAACCUAGUUGUGAGGAUAUAAAGAAAGAAAGAGACAUAUUAAUAUUGUAAUAUUAAUGUCUGUGUGUGUGUGUGCGCGUGGGAUCUCCACGGAACGUGGUGCCUUUGUGGGACAGACUGUUUAGAGCAGUAAGGGAAACAUACCUAGACAGAUAUUUCUAGUCUCAGAGGAUUGGAAUCAUCAUAUUGGAAGAGACCUUCAUCGUCAAAUGUCUAUGACCGAACCAUCUGUACCAUCAGUAUAGGUCUAUUCAUGCUGAGUAAGCUAUGUUCAGCAAACUGGUACUCUACAAUUUAAUGAACAGAGAUAGACUCUGAGAAUGGGGAUGAGGUAAGCAAAAUGUGUGUGUGUGUGUGUGAGAGAGCGAGGUGUGUGUCCGUGUGUGUGUGUGUGUGUGUGAGAGGGAGUGAGGUGUGUGUGUGUGAGGGAGAGGGUGUGAGAUGUGUGUGAGAGGGUGUGAGGUGUGUGUGUGUGAGAGGGUGUGAGGUGUGUGUGUGUGAGAGGGAGUGAGGUGUGUGUGUGUGUGUGUGUGUGAGAGGGUGUGAGGUGUGUGUGUGUUUAUACGUACAGGAGGCCAAGAGCAGAGCAACACAUCUAUGAAUCGUCUCCUCCUCAAUCGCUCCGAUCGAUAAAUCAACUCUCCUCUCAACCCACCUGACCUCGAUCACCUAGCUCAAAAUCUUUACUUUCCACAACUGCACACACUAGCAGAGAUAGAGUAAGAGAGACACACACACACAC
rnacentral:lncRNA from 13 species